GUUCAUCCUUCUCUUGCAUCUACUGUCCCAUUUCAAGAAGAUUAGAAUGGCCCCUACAUAAAGAUGACAAGCAAAUUCAUGAAGCAUUCCAUAUUUUU
rnacentral:snRNA from 1 species